UCUUGUUCUUGUUCUUGUUUAUCUUCUCUUCGUCACAUGUAAUUUAAGGGGUUUUUUUUUUUUAAUCGUUUUUGUACAUGGGUUUUUUGGUCAUUAGGGAAAUUAAGGUCGUUGGGCAUCACCAGAUUGGUGUAAUGAUGAAAGAUUUUGACUGCGCUUUUCCUCCUUUUUUGUUUUUCUGACUGAAGAUGUAAAGGAUCAUCAUUACUCUUUUACAUGCCAUAUAUAUCUUAUAGUAUAUCUUUUUCUCUCUAAAUUUUAUGGCUCGGUGGUGUUGUUUGUCAGUCUAGCUCUUUUAGGUUCAUCAUUGGACUGGUUUUUUUCAUGAUGGCCUUAAGAAUCUUCUCUGUCCGUUUCUGCUCCAUCCUGAUCUAAGCCCUGGCUGGCUUCUUCUUCCCCUCCCACAACUACUACCAACUCUUCUCUCUUAACCGUCUUUUUUUUUUUUGCCUUACUAGACAGGUUUCUGGUUAGGGUUUCUCGGUUGAUAAAGAGAAGUAGCUCUUUCAGAACACUUGUUUUGCUUGAGAUUCUCUUAAUAGUAAUUUUUACUAUUGAAGUGAAUGUUCUUUUACCUGUUUUCAACUCUGAAGAUGCUUACAUCGAGGUGUUUUUUUGCUUCUUUUAUUUUUUUUCCGUUCUUUUUCUUAAACCUUCUUACGCUUUCAGAAAAACUUUAUAUCAGUUCUGCUUGUUUUCUUUGCAAGAAGUGGUGGGUAAGUUACUGGACUAUCUGGAGCAGUGUAAUCUCCGCCCUCUUUUGUUUUUAUGCCUGCUUUUAUCUCUGAUUUAACUUUGGUACUUUUUAUAUAGUAUUAACACUUGGAUCUGUGUAUUUUCUGGUCAACUGAUACCCUUUGAAAGGCUGAAGAGAUGGACUCCACUCCCUGGAGAUGGUGAGCUUUGUGUAGUUGAUCAGGCAGGGGCAACAGAGACCAUACAGAAGUGAAAUAGAGAAAGAAAAACAGGUGAUUGAAAAGGUGAAUGAAAGAGAAGCGUCAUCAACAGGACAACCGUGAUGGGUCUAUGCAAGCUGCUUGCUUUUGUGUAUGUUAUGCCUCAUUCUGUCAUCAAUUUCUGAAGCUGAGGCAUAUGCAACACUGAAUGCCUUUAAUGGUCUGACUCUCUCGUUCUCUCUCUCAUAUUUGCUAGUAUAUUAUACAGUUGAGUCAACAUCAGCAUUGACGCCAUGGAUUCCUCUUUAAACUGACUGUGAUUAAUAUUUAUGGACUACCCAUGUAGUAUCCAUUAAAGUAAAGCUCUAAGAAUUUAAACCCAAGGUUUUUUUUUUUUUUCUGUUUGCUAUUCCACAAUCUAGUUAGGAAUCUAGUACAUAAUUAUCAGCUUAAGCGUUGCAACCCCCACUCCCCUGGCAUCUGUUCUUGAUCUCUUUUGCAUUUGCAAAGUAAAACCAAAGAAUCUUUUGAAGCCACAAUAUCUAUUAUAGUAGUCUAUAUAUUGCCAUUAUAAAGUGUCGCUCGUAAAGAUGCUCUACCCUGAUAAAACUACAAUAUCUUUUUCUCAUUUUAUGUCUCUUAAUGGAAUCAAAUUAUUCUAUCAACAUUAUAAUAUGCGAUAACUUGAGUAUUGCAGAUAUAUUCUUUUAAAAUUACUUAAUCAAGACCAUGUUUCCAAACAUGAUGAAAUAUGUUGUUUGUUAAAGAGUCUGUGACCCCUGAACAAAAUUAAGAUAAUUUGUCUUUCAUCAUUUGUAUCAUGUUUACAAGCGAAGCACUUGUUAUAUAUAUUCAAGUGGAAAACCUUCAAAACAUUGGCUAUCAAUAUGGCAAGUUAAUGAGGAAAACUUUUUUCUUAAGCUUAAGAUGGCUGUAGACUAUAGUAUCGUGUGCUAGUCUUCAACAGGCAAUUUAAUCAUCGGAUAGAGUGCCAACUUAGUAUUUGCUAAUUAAAACAGUAUUCAAGUUGUUAAUGACGUGCCAUUUUAAAGAUGUAAGCAUUAACUACUGCUCUAAGUUUCCUUAAUAAGUUUAAUGUCGAUAAUUCAGAGAAUAGACAGGUUUUUUUUUUUUUUUUGGUUUGGGAUCUUUUAGUAUUUUCCUUUAGGACAAAUGCAACAUAUAAAUUGACUGUAAAUGUGCUGAUUUUCUAUGCAUUGACUAUUGGAUGAAUAUAUUUUUUAAAUAAAAGUUUAAAUAUUUAAUCAAAUAAUUGAUCUCGAGAGGUGAUUUUCACACACUGCCACUGGAUAAAUUUAUGUAAAUGUUAGUAACUUAAAGAUAUAUGGUAGUUUUAACAUGUAUUUAUGUUAACAAGAUUCCAUUAAUCAGCUAUCCAAAACAAGAAUGGAGUGAUGAGGGAAAUGCAUGAAAGAGAGGCACUCUCUGGUUAACACCAUGUGAGAAGGGAAAUGAAUGAAAGAGAUGUACUCUUUUUAGUCUUCUGCGCACAUCUCAGAUAUAAUACGCCAGUAGAAUAGUGGAGUCAGAAGCGAUUACUCUGACUAGGACGAGAACAGUUUUGUCUUACCAUGAUAUCUGAACAGAUAAGUGCGUUACAGCCACAGGUAUUUUGUACUAUUCAGCACAUGUAACACAGGUUACAACCAUUGAUAAGAUAAGAAUAAGCUAACUUGACAUUAUCUUCUUUUAACUUUUGCUCUUUGGUUAGGGGAAAAGUUUUCCAAUAUGAGAUAGUAUUUAAUUGUCUUCUUAGAAGGUACUCUUUAAGAUUCAGCUGGGGUGUUGAUCACUUCAAUCACCUCGUGAAGCCUAUGUUAACCCUAUAUGAUCGAUAGUUGAUACUUAAGGUCUUGGGCAAUACUUGCCAGGAAUAUUGCUCCGAUGAGUGCAUAUAAUGGCAGUGUCAGUCCAAAUAAUAUGGUUGUUGAUCUAGUGUUGCAAGCAAGGAACAAUGCAAUUUCCUAUUGCCCCUGCAAACAUGGUAUAGUUUUGCAGAAUUUGAAGGGGCCGGGGGGGUCUAUCUGGAGAAACACCAAGAAUUACAUGUACGUGCAGCAUUUGCAGCAUCGAUUACUAUAGACCAAUGAAUUUCAGUGUGGGGGCCAAUGCAAAGCUAUUGACGGGUCUGGCACAACUUGAAUCGAAUUGGACCAAGAAAAGGGGUUGAUUUCAAAAUCGGAACGACCACAUUCAGGGCUGUUGUCGCGUCGUGGGCCUGGCCUAUAAGUUCACAACACUUACAUUGAAAUUCCUCCAUCUGAAUAUCUUAGACAGACAAUCACACCAAUCAGAUUAGCACCCGCCUGAAAUAAUCUUCUUUUUUCUUUUGUGAGAUAAAAAUGUAAUGACUUGAUUUGCUUCUGAGUUGAAACUAUUCUUCAUA
rnacentral:sRNA from 1 species